rfam:Syphacia muris strain Valencia genome assembly, scaffold: SMTV_scaffold0000450
GUUGGUUAUGGAGAUAUGACGCCACACACAGCUUUGGGACGGCUUGUUGGAAGCCUUUGCGCAGUAAUGGGAGUAUUAACCAUUGCGUUACCGGUUCCGGUAAUCGUUGGCAAU